rnacentral:rRNA from 1 species
AGAGUUUGAUCAUGGCUCAGGACGAACGCUGGCGGCGUGCUUAACACAUGCAAGUCGAACGGUCCUGUUUUUGAAGCGUUUCGGCGUGGAGGGAGCGGGGCAGUGGCGCACGGGUGAGUAAAGCGCGAGGACCUGCCCGCCGGAGGGGGACAGCAGUUGGAAACGGCUGGUGAUACCCCGUAAACCGGGAGGUGAAAGGGCGGCGACGCCCGCCUGCGGAUGGACUCGCGUCCUAUCAGCUAGUUGGUGAGGCAACGGCUCACCAAGGCGACGACGGGUAGCCGGCCUGAGAGGGUGUCCGGCCACACUGGAACUGAGACACGGUCCAGACUCCUACGGGAGGCAGCAGUGGGGAAUUUUGGGCAAUGGGGGAGACCCUGACCCAGCGACGCCGCGUGAGGGAUGAAGGCCCUUGGGUCGUAAACCUCUUUUGCAGGGGAAGAAGCAGAUGACGGUACCUUGCGAAUAAGUCCCGGCUAACUACGUGCCAGCAGCCGCGGUAACACGUAGGGGACGAGCGUUGUCCGGAAUUACUGGGCGUAAAGGGCGCGCAGGCUGUGCGUCGAGUCGGCUGUUGAAAGGCGGGGCUCAACCCCGCGAAGCGGUCGAGACCGGCGUGCUGGAGAGCUGCAGAGGCAGGCGGAAUUCCCGGUGUAGCGGUGAAAUGCGUAGAUAUCGGGAAGAACACCGGUGGCGAAGGCGGCCUGCUGGGCAGUUACUGACGCUGAGGCGCGAGAGCCAGGGUAGCGAACGGGAUUAGAUACCCCAGUAGUCCUGGCCGUAAACGAUGGAUGCCAGGUGUGCGUGCAGAGAUGCAUACGUGCCGCAGUCAACGCGAUAAGCAUCCCGCCUGGGGAGUACGGUCGCAAGAUUGAAACUCAAAGGAAUUGACGG